AAGGUCAAGACUGUCCACGAGUGGUUGCCUAUCUAUCUUUGCGUGUCUUGGAGUCGGGUUGUUUGGGAUCGCAGCCCAAAGUAGGUGGUAAACUUCAUCUAAGACUGAAUACGGCCACGAGUCCGAUAGCGAACAAGUACCGUGAGGGAAAGUUGCAAAGCACUUUGAAGAGAGAGUUAAAGAGGACGUGAAACCGAUGAGAUGGAAACGGACAGAGCUGGCGUAUCUGGUCUGCAUUCAUCCGUGUGUUCUUGGGCGUUUKGGUUGCUACUCUCCAGACUGGGAUGGUGCUUAUUCUGCUCAGGGGCUCAUGGAGCAUUUGCAGGCGGAGUGCGCUGAGACGCUYGGAGCAGCUGCAUGAGCUUAGCUUUGAGGCCAGCCCUUCGGGGUCUGGUACCCGGGCUGGGGGAGUGCUGUUUGUUCUGGGUGUUGAGUGUGUGCAAUGGCAUCGGGUCCGUGUUGGUUUGAGCUGGCGGUUGGUGGCAGUCGCGUGCGACACGUGCCAGCAGUUAGUUCGGUCCUGCUCGGGCUCUCUUUGCAUGUUCUCAGUGUAAAAGCCGGUCAUCUGUCCGACCCGUCUUGAACACCSGGACCAA
rnacentral:rRNA from 1 species